UAUCAAUAGGCCUGGGACCAAUCUACCCAU
rnacentral:piRNA from 1 species